AGAAUCAACGCUGGCGGCGUGCCUAACACAUGCAAGUCGAACGCGAAAGGGGCUUCGGCCCUGAGUAGAGUGGCGAACGGGUGAGUAACACGUGGGUGACCUACCUUCGAAUGGGGGAUAACGUCCCGAAAGGGACGCUAAUACCGCAUAACAUCCUGUCCUUGAACGGAUGGAGAUCAAAGCCGGGGAUCGCAAGACCCGGCGUUUGAAGAGGGGCCCGCGUCCGAUUAGCUAGUUGGUGAGGUAACGGCUCACCAAGGCGACGAUCGGUA
rnacentral:rRNA from 1 species